GCCUUGCUGGCUCAGCAGGGAGAGCAUGAGACUCUUGAUCUCAUGGUCAUGAAUUCAAGCUCCACACUGGGCA
rnacentral:tRNA from 1 species